GUCCACGCCGUAACGAUGUCGACUAGCCGUUCGGUCCAUUUAAGGGUUGAGUGGCGCAGCCAACGCGAUAAGUCGACCGCCUGGGGAGUACGGCCGCAAGGUUAAACUCAAAGGAAUUGACGGGGCCCGCACAAGCGGUGGAGCAUGUGGUUUAAUUCGAUGCAACGCGAAGAACCUUACCAGCCCUUGACAUCCUCGGAAUCCUGCGGAGACGUGGGAGUGCCUUCGGGAGCCGAGAGACAGGUGCUGCAUGGCUGUCGU
rnacentral:rRNA from 1 species